AGCACCUUGGCUCAGAGGAAGAGUGGCGGGCUCAUAACUCGCAGGUCCCUGGAUCGAAACCAGGAGGUGCUA
rnacentral:tRNA from 2 species